GCCGCCGUUCAAGGUCGUUCACGGAAGGCCAAUCGCCUUGCAAAUAAGGCAAUGCGAACCACAGCGAACGGACGUGAACGAUGCUCAGCAGCACUCGUAAUGAGAAGGUCGUCGGUUCGAUUCCGACAGGCGGCUCCA
rnacentral:tRNA from 1 species